rnacentral:rRNA from 1 species
UAGUCCACGCCGUAAACGAUGUCUACUAGCCGUUGGGAGGCUUGACCUCUUAGUGGCGCAGCUAACGCACUAAGUAGACCGCCUGGGGAGUACGGUCGCAAGAUUAAAACUCAAAUGAAUUGACGGGGGCCCGCACAAGCGGUGGAGCAUGUGGUUUAAUUCGAUGCAACGCGAAGAACCUUACCAGGGCUUGACAUCCUGCGAACUUUCUAGAGAUAGAUUGGUGCCUUCGGGAACGCAGUGACAGGUGCUGCAUGGCUGUCGUCAGCUCGUGUCGUGAGACGUUGGGUUAAGUCCCGUAACGAGCGCAACCCUUGUCCUUAGUUGCUAGCAGGUAAUGCUGAGAACUCUAAGGAGACUGCCGGUGACAAACCGGAGGAAGGUGGGGACGACGUCAAGUCAUCAUGGCCCUUACGUCCUGGGCUACACACGUGCUACAAUGGUCGGUACAAACGGUCGCCAACCCGCGAGGGGGAGCUAAUCCGAUAAAACCGAUCGUAGUCCGGAUCGGAGUCUGCAA